GGGUUUAGUUCUUAUAAGAGGAGUGGUGAAGAGAAAAGAAAAAAAAAAGAGAAAGAGAAAGGAGAGGUCUCGGUGGAAGAAAAGAAAGAGGAAAAGAGAGCUCUCGACGGAAGAAAAGAAAGGAGGAGGGAGAGCUUUUGGCUUCGACCUUGGAAGGAAGAACGAAGCCAAAGGGAUGCCCCACCGUUGCUCCUUGUCGUCACCUGUGCCAACACUAAGCCUCCGAGCAAGGCACCUCUUAAACCUUUUUCUUUCCACUCCUUUAAAUAAAGGAAAAGGAAAGCUACAGUGAAGGAAGGCGACAAGGAGGUGUGGGAUGGAUGUGUGAUGUCUGGACUAUGGAAGCCUUGGGACCUUGCUAAAGAAUUUAUUAAGAUUAACUCCUUAUUUAAGUUGAUAAGAAAAUUUUGGAAUCGGAUUUUCUAUUUCGUGCUGCUAGGGGAUUCAUUGAUGGGUUAACUAUUUUCCUUAUUGUUAGCUAAGGUUGCCUGGAAAUUUUAAUAUGAUACAGUCAUUACACUUGAAUUGCA